rnacentral:lncRNA from 1 species
ACCUACAAUAAAGAAGAAAAUGGACAGAAAAAAGAUUAUUAACUUUUCUUCCUUUUUUGUUCUUCUGUAGGUCUCAUUCCUGUCAGUUAGACUUGAGGUCAUGCUAUUUCCUGUUGGGGUCACGAGGAUGAAUUAGUGAUUAGACACUUAGGUGCUGGACUCAAAGGGACCUGGCUCCAUCACAUGCAAACUUUUUGUAAAAGAAGAAGGAUGGGUGUAUUCUUUCUUGUUCUACUGCUAGUUUAAAGAACAGGCGACUUCCCUGCUCAGAUUCCAAAUUCCUUAGGAAAACAAGAAGCGACAACAAAACCACACCAGUAACUUCCACUCACAUGUCAGUUUUAAAACAACUUGGGAAAGACAGAGUCUCUGCUUGCUCUGUCACCCAGUUUGGAGGGC